CCUGAUGGAGGGGGAUAACUACUGGAAACGGUAGCUAAUACCGCAUAACGUCGCAAGACCAAAGUGGGGGACCUUCGGGCCUCAUGCCAUCAGAUGUGCCCAGAUGGGAUUAGCUAGUAGGUGGGGUAACGGCUCACCUAGGCGACGAUCCCUAGCUGGUCUGAGAGGAUGACCAGCCACACUGGAACUGAGACACGGUCCAGACUCCUACGGGAGGCAGCAGUGGGGAAUAUUGCACAAUGGGCGCAAGCCUGAUGCAGCCAUGCCGCGUGUGUGAAGAAGGCCUUCGGGUUGUAAAGCACUUUCAGCGGGGAGGAAGGCGGUGAGGUUAAUAACCUUGUCGAUUGACGUUACCCGCAGAAGAAGCACCGGCUAACUCCGUGCCAGCAGCCGCGGUAAUACGGAGGGUGCAAGCGUUAAUCGGAAUUACUGGGCGUAAAGCGCACGCAGGCGGUCUGUCAAGUCGGAUGUGAAAUCCCCGGGCUCAACCUGGGAACUGCAUUCGAAACUGGCAGGCUAGAGUCUUGUAGAGGGGGGUAGAAUUCCAGGUGUAGCGGUGAAAUGCGUAGAGAUCUGGAGGAAUACCGGUGGCGAAGGCGGCCCCCUGGACAAAGACUGACGCUCAGGUGCGAAAGCGUGGGGAGCAAACAGGAUUAGAUACCCUGGUAGUCCACGCCGUAAACGAUGUCGAUUUGGAGGUUGUGCCCUUGAGGCGUGGCUUCCGGAGCUAACGCGUUAAAUCGACCGCCUGGGGAGUACGGCCGCAAGGUUAAAACUCAAAUGAAUUGACGGGGGCCCGCACAAGCGGUGGAGCAUGUGGUUUAUUCGAUGCAACGCGAAGAACCUUACCUGGUCUUGACAUCCACAGAACUUUCCAGAGAUGGAUUGGUGCCUUCGGGAACUUGUGAGACAGGUGCUGCAUGGCUGUCGUCAGCUCGUGUGUGAAAUGU
rnacentral:rRNA from 1 species